CUAGAUAGUGAGGUUUGGCUAGGACUAUACUGAAACCUAAGCAACUGGAACCAAGUUUGAAUAUUGAUCCAAACGUUAGAACUCAGGUUACUCGGCACGGCCUGACAGCAAAGUCUGCGUAAUCGCGGGCAUCAUGACUGUCAAUCUGGUACCAUCUAUUGAGCAUUUGCAAAUUGUAAUUAAUUCCUAUAAGAAAUAUCCCAGAAGGUUAAUAAUUGUACUGCAAAACUGGAGAUUCCUAUAAGAAUAUGCCAAAUACCUAAUUGUACUGCAAAACUUGAAAGCUAGAAUCAAAUAUUUCAAGAAAACAGAAUGAGACUAAUAGCAAUAUGACAUCACCAGAGUCCUCUCACUUUCCUUCAACCUCCACUUACUUGCCGAUCUCCAUCAGCCAUGGGAUUUCGCUUUCAAAAUCCAAAGUCUGAGCAAAGCAAAUUCGCUCAGCACGAAUGGGUAAUCGAUCCUUCUCUCCAUUUCAAUUUGUAGGUAAUGGAUAAAACCCAAAUUGGGGUCUCUUUCUGGGUUUUAUUUUGGGGUUUCUUUUAGACCUGAGGAUGAACACGCACCAAGUUUUGAAGACGCGAGCUCAACACCUCCAGUCGUAGUAGUAGUCAUUGUAAUCGACGGUGGUGGAGGAGUCAGAUUCAUCAGGAUGCAGAGCAAGUGAUUACGGGGUGAAAGGUUUGAUCGAUUUUGAGUCCUUGAUCUUACUCUGGAGAAGAAGAAGAAUCACCCAGACACUGAGAAAGUUUUGAGGUGCUAAAUAAGAUAAGUGCUACUUCACCAAAUCUCCCUGCUGUUUCUUCACUACUGCUUCUAAGGUUGCUUUGGAGUGUUAACCUUUCUUGGUGUUUUGAUUGGUAUUCCUUUUUCACCAAAUUUGCUUAUUCUGUCUGUGAAAAUGGCUUGAUGUCAAAUUGGGUUUUUGUGGCUUGCACUUUUGCAGUGAUAUUGAUAUUAAGGUUUGCAAUUUCUUGCGUAAAGUUACAAACCCAUGUUUAGGUUUUUUACUUUGGAAUCAGUUUGAAUAGCAAAAUGUAUGUAUUUUUUCUCACCUAGGAAAUUGAAGAUCAUAACUUACUUUUAUCUCAAAACUUUUUUUUUCCUCUUUUAUGUUCUGUAUUUCGAAACCAUUGCUAUGUCUGUUAGAAAAGUUUCAUGUAUUGUGCCAUUUUCAGCGCGCACGAUUAAUUGAGAGACUGUCCCACUUGUAGGACUAAACUAUUUUAUAUAAGAAAGCUAAAGUUUUUGUACAACUCUAGUUACUGGUUGUUAUUACCAUAUUUUUCGUUAAUUGGUUGGAGAAAUUUUUGAAUUCAAAUAUGCAAAUUCAAUGUAUUGGUAGCUACUGAAAAAACAUUUCACCAAUCUGUCUACUGGUUUAUCUGUGAGCUAUUAAAUUGAAAUGAGCUCGAAACUUUUUCCUGUG